rnacentral:rRNA from 1 species
UACGGGGGGAGCAAGCGUUGCUCGGAUUUACUGGGCGUAAAGGGCGCGUAGGCGGCCACCGCAAGUCGGUUGUGAAAUCUCUGGGCUUAACCCAGAAAGGUCAACCGAUACUGCGGGGCUAGAGUGCAGAAGGGGCAACUGGAAUUCUCGGUGUAGCGGUGAAAUGCGUAGAUAUCGAGAGGAACACCUGCGGCGAAGGCGGGUUGCUGGGCUGACACUGACGCUGAGGCGCGAAAGCUAGGGGAGCAAACGGG